rnacentral:rRNA from 1 species
UGGGGAAUUUUGGACAAUGGGGGAAACCCUGAUCCAGCCAUCCCGCGUGUGCGAUGAAGGCCUUCGGGUUGUAAAGCACUUUUGGCAGGAAAGAAACGUCAUGGGUUAAUACCCCGUGAAACUGACGGUACCUGCAGAAUAAGCACCGGCUAACUACGUGCCAGCAGCCGCGGUAAUACGUAGGGUGCAAGCGUUAAUCGGAAUUACUGGGCGUAAAGCGUGCGCAGGCGGUUCGGAAAGAAAGAGGUGAAAUCCCAGGGCUCAACUUUGGAACUGCAUUUUUAACUACCGGGCUAGAGUGUGGCAGAGGGAGGUGGAAUUCCGCGUGUAGCAGUGAAAUGCGUAGAUAUGCGGAAGAACACCGAUGGCGAAGGCAGCCUCCUGGGAUAAUACUGACGCUCAUGCACGAAAGCGUGGGGAGCAAACAGG